UACGUAGGGGGCUAGCGUUGUCCGGAUUUAUUGGGCGUAAAGAGCGUGUAGGCGGCCAGGUAGGUCUGCUGUGAAAACCCUGGGCUUAACCCUGGGCUUGCAGUGGAUACGGGCAGACUAGAGGCAGGUAGGGGAGAAUGGAAUUCCCGGUGUAGUGGUGAAAUGCGUAGAUAUCGGGAGGAACACCAGUGGCGAAGGCGACUACCUGGCCUGUUCUUGACGCUGAGGCGCGAAAGCUAGGGGAGCAAACGGG
rnacentral:rRNA from 1 species